UCAUUUGAGGCAGAGAGGAGUGGGACUUGGAGGUCUAGGGCACUUGAGGUCGUGGUGUCUCUAGGAGGAUUUGAAAUGAACCUGUAGCUCUAUUGCUUCAUAACACCUUUUAGGUGUUAUUAGUCCUCCUGAUGGGUUCUGUAGACAGCAAAAGUGUGCAGGGAGAGCCUUCAAGGCAUUCUGCUAUAUCUUUGAAACAGGAAGAGCACAGUCAGACACAGCAUCUGUAAAAGGAGCCCAGACAAAUGAAUGGGAGGCAUUCUGAUCCCAGUUUUAUUUUGCUUUUUUGAUACAUCCAGAAGUUCUAACCGACAAAAGAGGUUCACUGGACAGCAUGUUCUACAAACAGGUUUCAUAUCCAAAUACAGAAUCUACCGAGCAGAAGAAUCAGCAUCUACAUUCACAUUUAUGAUAUCUGGCUUACAUGAGAGCUUUCCAGCAACAAAAAGCCUGUUCUGAACAUAGUUAUCUCCCUUUUAUCAAAUUCUCUGGCAUAAAUGCUAGCCAAAAAAAAAAAAAAAGUCAG